rnacentral:rRNA from 1 species
UAGGGAAUCUUCCACAAUAGACGCAAGUCUGAUGGAGCAACGCCGCGUGAGUGAAGAAGGUCUUCGGAUCGUAAAACUCUGUUGUUAGAGAAGAACACGAGUGAGAGUAACUGUUCAUUCGAUGACGGUAUCUAACCAGCAAGUCACGGCUAACUACGUGUCAG